rnacentral:lncRNA from 1 species
CAAAAAAAUAUUUAUUACGAAGUACAUAAUUAAAAGUAACAUAAAACGGGUAAAAAGUGCAAAUAACUCCAAUUCUACAUGUUGCCUCCAUAUCCUGAAAAGAAUGAAUUCGAGGUCUAAUUAGUUAGGUAAUUUGCUAGCUUAUUGAUGUGCCUAGAAAUUAAUUAGCAUAUAUUCUAUAUUCUUUCUUACACCUUGUUUGGAUGGUUGUUACACGUUGUAUUGUAAUGUUAGUCUAUAUGCAAUGUUUGUUUUGAUUGUUACUUAAAUUUUAUUUUAUCUUCUCGUUUAAAUUUAUCUUUAGGUAGUGACGAAAAUACCCAUUGUAACGAUCGAUUUGGUGUGAUCGCGUUGUUAUCGUAAUAGUUUCUUCUCAUUUUGUCUUUACUUAUUAUUUAAUAGUUUUAUUUUAUCAUUUAUCCUACCUUUUCAUAGUAGUUGUGUCCCAUACCUUACGACUUCUAGUAGGUUAAUCACUCAAAUUAGGAAUAUGUGAUAUUAUGUAACGACGGAGAACGAUACAAUCUAUCCAAAUGUUAUAUUCAUUAAGAUAGUACACUACGAUACAACACAACACAAUACAAUAUAAUGCGAUACAUUAUGAAAUAAUACAUAACAAUCAUCCAAACUUUAUCUCUAAAACACAUUUAAAUGUUCAUAGAUUUGUUUCACUAUGUAGUUAGUAAGCUUUCGCGUAAUUGUAUGUUACUAGAGUUGUUAGAUAUCAAAUUUCUUUUAGUUUUUAAUUAAAAGAAUUAAUGUUUGCAUACAUUAACCAACGCUGUAUUAAUAUCUAAUUUAUCUGAAGACUCAACAUAGCAGACUAGAAUUUGGUAAUAAAAGAUUAGCGUUAACCCUUAUUUGAUAGAUUUACACUAGGCAUAAUUAAAAAUUUACUUGGCAUAAUCAGUUGUAUUAUUGUCAAUAACUCAUAUAAUUAGUAAAUCCCAAUGCAAUGGGAAGCUCUAGAUGACUUGUAAUAAAGUUAAAAGUCACGAGAAGAAGAAACACAUUGCUUUUGUUGUCAUUACGCAAUUGAAAUUUCUUACCAACAUGGGUUGCGGUGCACUGGUGGGAGUGCUUCACCCUUAACCAGAGGUCUCGGGUUUGAGCCUUGGGUAUGGAGAAAAUCCUGUUGGGAGCGCCACCCCGGAAUGGGCCCUGCAGAGCGCGAUCCAGAUUAGUCAGAGCUCCAAUGUGGGCUCCGGACACCGGGUGAGAAACCAAAAAAAAAAAAAAGUCACGAGAAGAAGAGAAAGAAUUGUUUAAACUUUAAACUAGCACAACUGAGAGAGAAGAAGCGUAAGAAGUUCAACAAGAUCGUAUUAAGGAUGAUUUUCAACAAGUAUGGACAGAAGAUAAUGAGAGACUAAUUUGAUCAAGGAGGAUAACAUUUUAAAUCUUCACACGUUUGUGGUGAUAGUGAUUUUAGUUAUACUCAGAGAAUUAGGGGUCUGAGAUGUUAGAAUUAGGAUAUCAUAAAAAAAAAUGUGGAUGAAAAAAAUCUUGUGGCCUAGAAGUGCACUGGAGUUUUACAAACUAUUGUGAAAUUAAAAUGAACUUAAAAAACAUAUGUGUUGCUAUAAAAUAUUAGGUGAGUGCAAUUCAUUAUAUAUUGGCCAAACACAUAUGCAGACCCUUAAACUUGUUCCUAAAUUUCAUUUUGACACUUUAACUCAACCUUGUUUCAUUUGAACUCUUUAACUCCAAUUUUUAUGUUCCAUUUUAACACUUCUUUCCAACAACAAAGUGGGAUCUGUGUACUUCACAUGCCAUGACAUGACACAAAAACCAAUUAAAAACACAUACACAACUCCUCUAACUUGCCUCCAUUUUUCAUUUUGUCAUGCUAACUUAACCUUGUUCCAUUUUAAUCUGUCAACUCUAUUUUAUAUAGUAUCAUUUAAACACAAAAUACUAAAUUUAUGAUUUCUUCAUUUCCACUUUUUCAUUUUAAAAAUCAACGUCAUAUUUUAAAAAUAAUAAUAAUAAUAAUGGAUGAACAUCAUUUUUUUUUUAGAGUUUCUGUACAUUAUUGUGAGAAAAAUUAAUCUACGAAAGUGUGUUGGAUUUCUUUUUUAAAUAAUUAAUUGAAUUAAAUAACACCACAUAUUUUUUUUCCAUAUCUAAACUAUUUGGACUAACUCAAAAUAUCAGCUUUCUAAUUUUUCAUUCAACUAAAUAUGGGUAAAAAAACUCAUGUUCAUUGCUAAUUAAUAACACUACAAAAAAAUGUUGAACAUCGAUAAACUUCGUUGGGUUGCCAUUGAUUUUCUUAAGAAAGAAAAUCNNNNNNCACUUUCGUCGGUUAUUUUUCACGCAAAAAUAUAGAAAAACUCUUAAAAAGAAAUUGUUAUUUUUAAAAAAAUUAAUCAAUCAUCAUCCAUCAAUUUUAUUUUUUUACAAUAACUAACGGAUGAACAUCGAUUUUUAAAAUGCAAAAUUACAGUUGAAUAACAUAUAUAGAAACAAUGAAAUCAUAAAAUUAGUAUUUUGUGUUAAAUGGUACAUAAAAAAAAAUUGAGUUGAAGGGUAAUCUUUUAAUAUAUAUAUUUUUAAAAUACUUUGUUUUGUCUUUCUUUCUCUUAGAGAAAGUGUGAUGCACACACUUUGCCACAUCACUUAGAAGUGCCAAAAUGGAACAUAAAAAGUGGAGUUGAAGAGUUAAAAUGGAACAAGGUUGAGUUGGAGUGCCAAAAUAAAAUUUAGGGACAAGUUUAAGGGCCUGCAUAUGUAUUUGACCUUAUAUAUUUGUACCCAUAAAAUUAAAAUAAGUUUAAAAAAUCAUACAUAAUCUAAUUAAAUUUUAAUUAUUUAUCUCCUUAGAUUUAGACAAUAUCCAAAUUAAUGUUGACUUCAACAAACAAGUCAUCAUACAACAAUAAACAAAAACUUAUACUUUAUUAUUUUAUAUAUAAUUUUUUUCAACAAAUUUUAAAGUGACAAAAUUAAUUGCAAUCACAAAUAAAAUAUGAAGAAACAUAAUUCUAUUGAUAAAUAUUAUGGGUAGAAAUAUGUUCCUCAUUGAUUCUUCUCUCAUAAGAUUUAUUCAUGAUUCGAGGACCGUUAGUGGCGUAUUUCUCGAACUUGAAUUAUUUGGACUUGAUUUCUAUAAUUCGAGGGCUGUUAGUGGCGUAUUUCUCGAACUAGGAUAAUUUUGACUUGAUCUUCAUAACUCGAGGGACGUUAGUAGUGUAUUUCUCGAAUUAAGACGAUUUGGAUUUGAUAUCUCUUUAUGAAUAUUUCAUGAAUUUGUGGUGGAAUUUUCGAGAUGCCUUUUCAAGGGAAUAUAGUACCCUUUAUAUUAGCAUAAACUAGGGUUUAGGGUUGAGUAGCCUCCAAAAAUUCUAAUUGAAACUAAACACAUCUUGUAGAGUCCCAACUCGAAUAGAACACGUCUUGUAGAGUCACACAAAAUUUCAAUGUCUACAAAUGCUCCCUACGUCAAGGUUUGUCGGAGUGUAGACUUGAUGAAACUCAAAGACAAGGCUUGAAGUACUCAUUCUUCCACAUUUCCAGCUUCAAAUUUUUAGAUUUGAUUUAUGAGACAAGAGAUGAAAGGCAGAUUUGUAUCUCAUUGGGCGUGCCAAUUUGUUUGAAACAAAUUUUAAAGUGACAGAAAAUUAAUUGCAAGCACAAAUAAAAUAUGAAGAAACAUAAUUUUAUUGAUAAAUAUUGUGGGUACAAAUCUGUUCCUCCCUUGAUUCUUCUCUUAUGAGAUUUAUCCAUGAUUCGAGGGCCGUAAGUAGCGUAUUUCCCGAACUUGGAUGAUUUGGACUUAAUUUCUAUAAUUUGAGGAUCAUUAGUGGGGUAUUUCUCGAACUUGGCUGAUUUGAACUUGAUCUUCAUAAUUCGAGGACAGUUAGUAGCGUAUUUCUCGAGUAAAGAAGUUAAUUCCACUACAUCAACACUCAGAUGUAGAGUGUGCAAAAUAAGAAAGGAUAGUCACAUGAAGGUAAAAAAAAAAAAGCUAGUUCAAAUAAGUCAAAUUUGAAUUGUCAGCUGAAACAUAUAGACUUCCAUAAAAAAGUAAAUGAAAUUAGUGAAUACUUUAAAAAUGAAAAGAGUGAAUGUUGCAUACCUUCAUGAAAUCAAGCGGAUAAGACAAAAUGCUAUAAAAAUUGAUAAUAAGGAUUAUAAGUUAUAGUUUUGUGGGAUAGAUAAAAAUAUGAAUAAAGUGAAAAGUGUCGUAGAAUUGAGACUUAGAGAAAAGAUUUUUGAGGUAAUACGAGUUGAGGAUAAGAUUAUGUAGCGAUCCUUUUUGGUCGUUAUAGGUAGAUCUAUGGUGAAAUAAUUGGGUCUGAAAACUUUUCGAGUAGUGUCUUGAAAAUUUUAGGCUAGGUCAAUCUCAAGAGAAAUCUGAGUGAGGUGUGGUCUAGAGAAAUCCAGAAAUGGAUUGAGUGAUAUGUCUAAGCGUGGAUCGUAUUUUUUAAUAGCUAAGAUAUUAAAAAAAUCAUAAGGCUUUUCGGAAUUAAAUUUGGGUAAGUAGAACCAUCGAUAUCAAACUUGGCGUGAAGGAGUUAGUUUAGAACAUCAAGAUUCGAAUGUAAAUUGUGAAAGGGGGGAUUUUGGGAAGAAUUCUGAGAUUCGGUCCCUUGCAAUCCGCUAUAGCAGGGGAAUUAAUUUCCACUAUAGCGGGUCAAUCACGAAUGAGUGUAGGAGAAGUUCCUAAACUUCUCAUUAUUCUGCAACUUCAUUCUUGGAAAAAAUAAGGGUCAUUGAGGGAAACUUUCCUCAGUUUUUCAUCAAUUUCUUCGGUAAAGAUAAGUUAAUUACUCCCCAAGACUUGGAAAGUUCAAUAAAGCUUCCAAGCCUUCAUAUAAUGAUUGUUUGUUUUCCUAGUUUAUGUUAUAUGUGUUUGUCAACUAUUCUGCUAGUACUGCAUGCAUGAUACAUGAUUAGGAAAAAAAGGAAAAAACAUAUUGUGAAAUGAAAGAUGUUGUCAAUCACAUGCAAUGAAUAUGUUUACUUGGUGUACAAGUGUGAUUAUUGUUCAUUGUAGUUGUGAUUGUGUUGUGUGUUUGAUUAUUGAAUUGAGUACCACGUCGAUACAUACUAAUAUUGGAUCGAGUCCAUGUCAGUAUAUACUAUUAUUGAAUUGGAUACCAUGCCGGUACAUACUAUUAUUGAAUCAGAUACCACGCCCGUACAUUCUAUUAUUGAAUCAGGUACCACACUAGUACAUAUUAUUAUGGGAACAGGUACCACGUUGGUACGCUAACAGUUGUGUGUAUGUGUUCCAUAAGAGAACCAAAAUGGCUUGUUGUUCUGUGGUGAUUCAUAUUUAUUGUGUAUUAAUUCAGGUCAGAGACUAGGAGUCCGGGUUAUAUUGUAUUUGUGUUUAUAAUUGCCUAUUGUCUGCUUUACUAAUGUUGUGGUUGCCUGUUCAUAUCUCAUAUAACUGGAAUUAGCCGAUGACACUACCAUUACACUUUGAUUGUGUACUAAUAAUGCGCUUGCUCUUUCUUCAUUGAGCACAUGUCAUAUUUAGGCAGCUGUGUUUGUGACCUCAACUGAGAUACUUUCGUUAUCCGAAUCCAAGUGUGAGUCACUCCCUCUGAGCUGCAUUGGAUUCCUCUUUAUCUUCUUAGUCUAUUUUUCGGACUCGGACUCAGACUCUUUAAGCUUAUGUUUUCCUUAUUUUGGGGGGUUGUAUCCCUUUAUUCUAGACAAUUAGAAUUUUGGUACCGCGACUUUUAAUUCUAGGAGGUUACUUACACAUUGUUGACGAUUAUGAUUUUGUCAUUAAUAAACCCAAUUUAAUUUAUUGAAAAACUGUUUAAAAAACUUUGAAAUUGCCUAUUAGACUAUGUACGAGUAGUCAGUUGGUUCUCUCACUAGGGGUUAGUGUGAGUCCCACUCACGACAAGCCAGGAUCGUGAAAAAUUAUUAAAAUAAAACUUGUAUGAAGAAAAUGAGACGAUCAAUAUUGUCGGUGCAUGUACUCCAUAAAUAGGAUUAGAUGUAAAAUAUUUAUAUAAGGAGAUCUUAAUGACCAUACAUAAAUAAAAAUAAACGACAAUUUUGAGCAAGUACCUCAAUCACAUGAAUUGCAGUGAUGAAAUGAGAAAGUACAGAGAAGUAUUAAACUCGUAAGUCAUAUGAUGAAACUCUAGAAAAUAAUUAUAGAGCUAGACUUAGAAACACAAUAAAAGUGAAAGAGAGUCGAUUUGAAUUUAUGCCUAGUGGAUCUAUAACGGAGGUUAUAUUCUUACUAAGUAGAUUGAUGAAAAAAAAAUAGGAUUAUUUGGCUUUUAUUUGAUUAUUUAAUAAAAUGGUCCAUAGGGCCAAAAAUUUAACUAAAAAUAAAAUAAGAUGAAAAAUCUAUCGCGAAAAUAAUAAUUCCUCAUGAUAUUUAUUGAUUUAGAGAAAGUAUAUGAUCAAGUGCCUUGCGCGUUUCUUUGAUAGGUAAUUGAGUCCAAAAUAAAUCAAUUAUUUAAGUAUAUAAAUGUCAUAAAUAAUAUGUAUGAGGGACUCAUUUUUAGCAUGAGAAAACAAUGAUAGGUAAUAUAUAAAAGAGCUUCUUAUAAAAGUGGAUCACAUUAGGGAUCGACAUUGGGUCCUUACCUUUUUACCCUUGUUAGAAACAAUUUAACUAACAUAAUACAAAAGGAUGUAUCAUAGUAUCUGCUAUAUAAUGAUUAUAUUAUGUUAAACCAAUCAAAAUCUUGAACUAUAGAAAAGCAUGCCAGAAGUAAGAUUGAAUAUGUGAAUUGCAGAUUUAGUAAAUAUGCUAGGAGAGAAGUUAAGGCAAGACUAGAUGAAAAUUACAGUGCCAUAAUGCAAAACAAAUUAGAUAUAAAAGCUAGCAGUUUCAAGAGAAAGAAAUGAUAGAUGAAAAUGUUAUUCACAGAACUAAAAAAGGUGGCUGAAACUGAGAAGUCCUAAUUGAAUAUUAGGUGAUUGAAAGAAUAUACCUGCUGAAGUGAAAUGCAAGUUUUAUAGAACAAUUAUAAGACCGAUCAUAUUAUAUGACUCUGAAUGUUAGGAGGUUAAAAUCUAAUUUAUCCACUAGAUGAGUGUCAUGAUGUAACGAUCUGUUCCAGUCGUUAUGACUAGACAAAUGGUUAAAGAAAUCGGGCCAGAAAAACUUUUUGGACAGUGAUUAAAAAAAUCUAGGCUAACCCAGACUUAGAUAGAAUAUGAGUGUGGCAGGUCUAGGGUCAUCUGGGAAUGAGUGGGGUGAAGUGUCUAGGCUUGGGUUAUAUUCUCUAGAAGCUAAUUCAAUAAGGGAUUCGUAGGGCUUUACGAAAUUGAAUUCGGGUGAGUGAAACUUACGAGAUCGAACUUGACACAAAGGGAAUAGUUCGGAACGUCAAGGGAAGAAGGUAUAUUGUGAAAAAUGAGAUUUUCAGAGAUUUUUGAGUCUCUGAUGUUCGUGCAAUCCACUAGCGUGAGUGUGCAAGCGCUAUAGCGGGCUAACGACCAAUGUAG